rnacentral:rRNA from 1 species
CGAUCCCAAGUCAGAUGAGAUUACCCGCUG